UUUUACAGACGAGACUAUGAAAGUCAAAAAAGCUGGUGAGUGAAAAGACCUAGUUCACGAUUUGGAUCUGCCUUAUGCUGAAGUCCAAGCUUCUGACCAGAAUAUGAUAAUUUUUCUAGACAUAAGCCCCUCCCCAUGGUUACGCAGGUAGUAUGUUCUCAGCAGACUAGAUUAAUACAUACUCUAAAUUUUGGAUUUCUUUGCUUUCUUUAUCCAAUUACAUUGAAUCAUUCAACGUGCAUGAAUAGUAAUAAUUUAUUUUCAUAUACUGUAUAUUUUUUAUAAAGGACAUUAAACCCCUCCACAUUCCCUAGACAUGAUUAGCUGGCACCAAAGGAUUAGUAAGAAAAUGUAGAUUUCACCAAAGACUUUAUGGAAGGCACAGAGGAGGAGGGGUCAGUUGCACACUGCACAACAAGCUAUUGACAACUCUUGUUCAACCUUUCUGCUCUCCAGGUUCCUUCUUCUUCCCUGAACUUGCAGAGUGUGGGGGUUCUUCUCCCCAUAGUAGAAUCCCUCUCUGGGUCCUGCUCCUUUUACCAUGUUCCUUUCCCCACUCUGACUUAUUGUUCCUGCCUAUGCAGAACACUUAGCCAUUCUCCAUCUUCUACCUUUGACUUAUACACUCAGCCUCUCUCUGGAAUCAAGUAAAAGUUCUGUUUUAUGCACAAGUGAGUCUGGCAUCAGCUGUAUAAUUUUAGUUGAGGGUCAAGAAGACCUCACUACUCAAACCUCUUAACAUGCUCUCCUCUUUGAAUUGGGGUAUAAAUGGUAUCUUAGGAGUGAC
rnacentral:lncRNA from 1 species